rnacentral:lncRNA from 1 species
UGAGCAUUUACAUUCCAGGAAGUUUUAACUAGUUGUUGGAAAUCCUUAUGCUGUAUCCAUGCAUUAAAAAAUCUAAAGGGUGUUUUCCUGAUUGAAAUAUCAUCUGUCAAGGUUAGAACCAUGGGGUUAUGAUCAGAGAUUAAUGGGGCACCAUAUACAGUCUGCACAUGGCUCCAUUUUAGCAUCCACUCACAAUUACCAAAAGUUCUAUCCAGCCGACUGCAUACUCUAUCAUUUCCACCUU